rnacentral:rRNA from 1 species
GUAUGGCGGCUGCCUUAACAUGCAAGUCGAACGGUAGAGUAGCAAUACUCGAGAGUGGCGAACGGGUGAGUAAUAUAUCGGAACGUGCCCAGUCGUGGGGGAUAACGUAGAGAAAUUUACGCUAAUACCGCAUACGAUCUACGGAUGAAAGCGGGGGAUUCGCAAGAACCUCGCGCGAUUGGAGCGGCUGAUAUCAGAUUAGGUUGUUGGUGAGGUAAAAGCUCACCAAGCCGACGAUCUGUAGCUGGUUUGAGAGAACGACCAGCCACACUGGGACUGAGACACGGCCCAGACUCCUACGGGAGGCAGCAGUGGGGAAUUUUGGACAAUGGGCGAAAGCCUGAUCCAGCAAUGCCGCGUGUGGGAAGAAGGCCUUCGGGUUGUAAACCACUUUUGUACGGAACGAAACGGUUCGCUUUAAUACAGUGGGCUAAUGACGGUACCGUAAGAAUAAGCACCGGCUAACUACGUGCCAGCAGCCGCGGUAAUACGUAGGGUGCGAGCGUUAAUCGGAAUUACUGGGCGUAAAGCGUGCGCAGGCGGUUAUAUAAGACAGUUGUGAAAUCCCCGGGCUCAACCUGGGAAUUGCAUUUGUGACUGUAUAGCUAGAGUACGGUAGAGGGGGAUGGAAUUCCGCGUGUAGCAGUGAAAUGCGUAGAUAUGCGGAGGAACACCGAUGGCGAAGGCAAUCCCCUGGACCUGUACUGACGCUCAUGCACGAAAGCGUGGGGAGCAAACAGGAUUAGAUACCCUGGUAGUCCACGCCCUACACGAUGUCAACUGGUUGUUGGGUGCAUUAGUACUCAGUAACGAAGCUAACGCGUGAAGUUGACCGCCUGGGGAGUACGGCCGCAAGGUUGAAACUCGAAGGAAUUGACGGGGACCCGCACAAGCGGUGGAUGAUGUGGUUUAAUUCGAUGCAACGCGAAAAACCUUACCUACCUUUGACAUGUAUGGAAUUCGCCAGAGAUGGCUUAGUGC